CCUACGGGUGGCAGCAGUGGGGAAUAUUGCGCAAUGGGCGAAAGCCUGACGCAGCGACGCCGCGUGAGGGAUGAAGGUCUUCGGAUCGUAAACCUCUGUCAGCAGGGAAGUACGGUCACUGUGCUAAUCAGCAUUGAAUUUACGGUACCUGCAAAGGAAGCCCCGGGUAACUCCGUGCCAGCAGCCGCUGUAAUACGGAGGGUGCGAGCGUUAAUCGGAUUUACUGGGCGGAAAGCGCGCGUGUGCGGUAUGUCAAGUCAAGGGUGAAAUCCCCGCGCUCAACGUGGGAACUGCCUUUGAAACUGGCAGACUGGAGUGUGUGAGAGGAUAGUGGAAUUCGAGGUGUAGGAGUGAAAUCCGUAGAUAUCUGGAGGAACAUCAGUGGCGAAGGCGACUAUCUGGCACAUAACUGACGCUGAGGAGCGAAAGCGUGGGUAGCAAACAGGAUUAGAUACCCGGGUAGUC
rnacentral:rRNA from 1 species